UUUAACUUUCUUUUUUUUCUGCUCGAUUCAGUGUCCAUAUUUUCUUCUUCUUCUUCUUCUUAAACUUGGACACUUUAAUUAUGAACACUCAAAAGAGACUCGAUUUCCCCUUUUCGGAAAAAAAAGGAAAAG
rnacentral:ribozyme from 13 species